rnacentral:rRNA from 1 species
UAGGGAAUCUUCCGCAAUGGACGCAAGUCUGACGGAGCAACGCCGCGUGAGUGAAGAAGGAUUUCGGUUCGUAAAACUCUGUUGUUAAGGAAGAACGAGUGUGAGAAUGGAAAGUUCAUACUGUGACGGUACUUAACCAGAAAGGGACGGCUAACUACGUGCCAGCAGCCGCGGUAAUACGUAGGUCCCGAGCGUUGUCCGGAUUUAUUGGGCGUAAAGCGAGCGCAGGCGGUUAGAUAAGUCUGAAGUUAAAGGCAGUGGCUCAACCAUUGUAGGCUUUGGAAACUGUUUAACUUGAGUGCAGAAGGGGAGAGUGGAAUUCCAUGUGUAGCGGUGAAAUGCGUAGAUAUAUGGAGGAACACCGGUGGCGAAAGCGGCUCUCUGGUCUGUAACUGACGCUGAGGCUCGAAAGCGUGGGGAGCGAACAGG